CAGAUCUUGACAUCCUUCUGAAAAAUCCUUAGCCGGAUUCCUCCUUCGGGACAGAAGAGACAGGUGGUGCAUGGUUGUCGUCAGCUCGUGUCGUGAGAUGUUGGGUUAAGUCCCGCAACGAGCGCAACCCUUGUGUUUAGUUGCCAACAGGUUAAGCUGUGCACUCUAAACAGACUGCCGUGGAUAACACGGAGGAAGGUGGGGAUGACGUCAAAUCAUCAUGCCCCUUAUGAUCUGGGCUCCACACGUGCUACAAUGGUCGGUACAACGGGCAGCGAAAGAGUAAUCUGGAGCGAAUCCUAAAAAGCCGAUCCCAGUUCGGAUUGUGGGCUGAAACUCGCCCACAUGAAGUUGGAGUUGCUAGUAAUCGCGAAUCAGAAUGUCGCGGUGAAUGCGUUCCC
rnacentral:rRNA from 1 species